rnacentral:sRNA from 1 species
AUAGUGGACUAGGGUCCAGAAACAAAUAACCCCGCUUGUACGGGGUUUUUUGUCUUUAAAAUUUCGGUUUUCUUUCUGGGCAUUUGGCCCUUUUUUU